UUUUAAAGAGAGUUUGAUCCUGGCUCAGGACGAACGCUGGCGGCGUGCCUAAUACAUGCAAGUCGAACGAACGGAGGAAGAGCUUGCUCUUCCAAAGUUAGUGGCGGACGGGUGAGUAACACGUGGGCAACCUGCCUGUAAGUUGGGGAUAACUCCGGGAAACCGGGGCUAAUACCGAAUGAUAGAAUGUGGCGCAUGCCACGCUUUUGAAAGAUGGUUUCGGCUAUCGCUUACAGAUGGGCCCGCGGUGCAUUAGCUAGUUGGUAGGGUAAUGGCCUACCAAGGCAACGAUGCAUAGCCGACCUGAGAGGGUGAUCGGCCACACUGGGACUGAGACACGGCCCAGACUCCUACGGGAGGCAGCAGUAGGGAAUCUUCCGCAAUGGACGAAAGUCUGACGGAGCAACGCCGCGUGUAUGAAGAAGGUUUUCGGAUCGUAAAGUACUGUUGUUAGAGAAGAACAAGGAUAAGAGUAACUGCUUGUCCCUUGACGGUAUCUAACCAGAAAGCCACGGCUAACUACGUGCCAGCAGCCGCGGUAAUACGUAGGUGGCAAGCGUUGUCCGGAUUUAUUGGGCGUAAAGCGCGCGCAGGCGGUCUUUUAAGUCUGAUGUGAAAGCCCCCGGCUUAACCGGGGAGGGUCAUUGGAAACUGGAAGACUGGAGUGCAGAAGAGGAGAGUGGAAUUCCACGUGUAGCGGUGAAAUGCGUAGAUAUGUGGAGGAACACCAGUGGCGAAGGCGACUCUCUGGUCUGU
rnacentral:rRNA from 1 species